CCCCUUAGAGUUUGAUCAUGGCUCAAAGUGAACGUUGGCGGCGUGGAUUAGGCAUGCAAGUCGAGCGAUCGUAGCAAUACGGGAGCGGCAAACGGGGUAGGAAUACAUCGGAACGUACCUUCUGGUUGAGAAUAGCGUUGGGAAACUGACGGUAAUACUCAAUAAAGUCGAGAGACCAAAGGUUUACUGCCGGAAGAGCGGCCGAUGCGAUAUUAGGUAGUUGGUGGGGUAAUGGCCUACCAAGCCUGAGAUGUCUAGGGGGUGUGAGAGCAUGGCCCCCACCACUGGGACUGAGAUACUGCCCAGACACCUACGGGUGGCUGCAGUCGAGGAUCUUCGUCAAUGGGCGAAAGCCUGAACGAGCGACGCCGCGUGCGGGAUGAAGGCCCUUGGGUUGUAAACCGCUGUCAGGGGGGAUGAAACCGUAAGGUUGACAGACCCCCAGAGGAAGCACGGGCUAAGUUCGUGCCAGCAGCCGCGGUAAUACGAACUGUGCGAACGUUACUCGGAAUCACUGGGCUUACAGGGUGCGUAGGUGGCUUGAUAAGCAGGGUGUGACAUCCCUCGGCUCAACCGAGGAACUGCGCUCUGAACUGUCGGGCUAGAGUAUGCUAGAGGUGAAUGGAACAUCCAGUGGAGCGGUGAAAUGUGUUGAUAUUGGAUGGAACACCAGAGGCGAAGGCGAUUCACUGGGGCAUAACUGACACUGAGGCACGAGAGCCAGGAGAGCAGACGGUAUUAGAUACCCCGGUAGUCCUGCCGUAACGAUGAGAACUGAGCGGGGGGGGAGUCUCGCCCUCCUCCCGGCUAGUAGCGAAAGUCGUUAAGUCUCCGCUGAAGUAGUAUGGUUCGCAGGCAUGAAACUCAGAGUAAUGACGGGGCUCAACAGCGGUGAGCAUGUGCCUUAGUCAGCACGACAUCUUUACUAGAUUGACCUGCACGGUAUGUUA
rnacentral:rRNA from 1 species